rnacentral:lncRNA from 1 species
AUCAGAAUCAAUUUGAAAUAGAAUAAGAAUACAUCAUAAAUAUGUUUGCUAAACACGACCUUAUUACAAAAGCUUCGAAAUGAAAUUAUGAGCGAAACGCUAGGGACAACAUCCACUAGAUUUUUCUAAAACUAAGGCUAGACUAAAACUGUAUCAUCCUCGAAAUCAAGAUGACUUACCAAAUGGUCUGGAAAAAUGCUGAUGUCCAAACCGUUGCAAGAAUUGUCAAUCUGUCCCUUAACCUGCAUCUUUAAAGUAGUAAAUAGUAGGGGUUAGUACACCACUUGUACUAAGUAUGGGUGAAUGCACACAUACACAUAAGGCUAUGGAUAAUCAAAGAAAGCUCUUCCUAAACAACAUGAUAUUUCUGGAAAGCCUAGUCACUAGACUUUCCAAAAUCGUUAGUUGUGAAAUAUGGUAUGAAUAUGAUGUAUUUUAAAUGCAUUCCAAUCACACAACUCAUUUUCAACAUGAUUAAAAGACAUAAGUAUCAUCAACAUAAUUUUAGAACAACUGGGGUGAAGAUUUGAGAUUUUUGAUCCUCUUAGGCCGAGAGGUCCUCUUUGUACACUUAUACCAUUUUUUCAGUCUUUUUCUUCUUGUUAUUGUGUAGUUCAAUAAUUUUAUUGGUCCUAUGUUUUACUUACAGGUGCAAUGAUUCAUUGUAGUCCCAUACUCACAAUGAAUCGAUGUAAGUAAUCCAAGGACUAAGGAAUGAUUUCCCUACCAUAUGGUGAGUCAUUCUUUACACUAUAUAUAUUCAUUACCUUUCAUAAGCAAUUCUCUAUUGAUCAUGCCAUUGAUUUCAUUACUUUCAUGUUUUAUAUAUUAUACAUUUCAUAUACACGAGACUUUGGAAUUGUUGGUGUAGCAUAAGACAUAUCAAGUGAGGACCCAGCAUAUGGAACCUCAACCCGAGGUCCUUCUUUAGCAAACACAGAGUCUGCUUCAUUCGUUAAUUCGUACUUCACAUUGUUCAUUUCAUUCAUUCGUAGGUUGAUGUAAACACCAGCUAUACCUAAGAUGAAGUUUAAGAAUCUCAUUGGGAUCAUGAAGUGCAAUGACCAAGAAUAACCUAAUGUCAUUACUUGAAUCUGAUUUCACCUCCUGAUUGUCUAGCAAAAACACCUUCGAUAUCAUUCAUUUCAUUAUCUUUCAUACUUUGAGGUUGACCUCAUUCUUUCUUUGGGAACUUUAACUUUAACCGACAUAGAUCAUGUGAGCAUAAUGAAAUCCAGUGUCUGCCCCACACCGAAAAAUUGACCAAAAAAUUGACCCAAAUCAUAUAUACAUGGAUCUAACCUAACGAAUUCAAGAACAACACCUAGAUCAUCAAAGAACUCCUAAAUCUCAACUCAUGUUCAAGAACAAAGCAAUUGAAGAACAACAUUCAAGAACAUUCAAAAAUCCUAUUUUUUGGGAUGAAAUCGCAUUUAAUUAAACAUGCUUCACACGUGGGUGAACGAACCCAACGUUAUGGAAGACUCACAUGAUUCUUUAGGGAUCACCAUUAGCGAAAUCCACAAGUUAUUCUUGACGAACUUAACAAUCUUGGCUCUUUUUUUCUUUCUUCUUCGCUUGCGUUCUUUCUCCAAAACCCUAACCUUUCUCCAAAGGUUAAAAACUGACAAGUUCUGUUUAGACCCUUAAUAAUAUUAUCAAAAUCUAAUUUAAUUAAUUGGGUAAAAAAACCAAAUUACCCUUUUAAUUUCCGGAUUGGACAUUUUCUUAAUCCAACAUCCCAACUUCCAAAAGGCAUAACAUACUCAUCCGAAGUCGAAAUUUCGUAAACUUGGCAGCUUUGGAAAGAUUGUUCCAAGGUCUUUCCAAUCAUAUCCAGAACUACACCAAAAUCAUCUUGAGCUAGGAUUUAUGAUCAUUUGAAGUUGACCAAAAAACUCUCUUUUUCCUAAUUUAAGAAAGUUUCCAGAUUUUAAUUCUUUUCAAAACUGACUAUCAACUUCUAAGCUUUUUCCUAGCUAUUUCGAUUUGUGAGAUUUUACAGUCAAUAUUGGCUUCACGAACAAACUCAACUUCUAAAGUUUCAAGAGUCUAUCUGUGAUGGUCUUACAUACAUGACAACACAUAUUGAAGGAAAAGUUGAGGUCACAUGAGAAAUAGAUCAAUUUGACUCAUAUAUUCUUGACUUAGAGGCUCAACUAAACAAAAAGAUUGUGGCGUCUGAAUCCCAAUUGCCAACUAAUGUGGAUGAUGACUAACUAAUGGAGAAAAAAGAGGAAUUUCAACCAUUCAACUACACAUUAUUCCUUAUAUCGAUGUUGAUAAAGAGUGCAAAACUGAGAAUGUUGUAAAUAAUGUUGCUUUAGAGUUGAGGCAACUGGAAUCUCAUUCAAAACAUUUUUAUGUAAUAUCUAAACUAAUGGAUGAUUGUGUCGAUGAGGAACAAGGCCCCUACAUUCUAAAGGUUUUUAGUCCAUAUAGACAAAAGGUCAUUCCUCGCCUAAGGGCCAAGAAGUAUAAGAUGCGACAUAUAUUACUUGGUUCUUUUAUCUUUAUACCACCGCUCCUUGAGAGGAGUAGAAAAGUUGAUGCAAUGUUAAGGGUAAAAUUCAUUAGUUCAAACUUAAAAGAAAAGUGGUGAAUUUAUUUGUGUCGUGCCGCGACAUUAAAUUAGGUACUUAUUGGGAGGCAACCCAAUUUAUGCUGUAACUUUUUUUUUAGUGUCAUUUUUUGUGUGUUGUUUACAGGUUCGGAGAAUUUGGAGUAUCCGAAAUUUGGAUCUAAGGGGCAUGUUUGAGCUCAAGUGUGGGAUGUGUACGACCAUUGAUGAAAAUAAAGAGAACAUGCUACUAGCUAGGCCUAAAGGCCUCAGGGAUUUUUUCUAACCCUUGUUUCAAAUUUGUUUGAUGCUUUGGAGACAUAGCAUUCUCUUAAGUGUGGGGUGGAACAAUAAAUUUCUAGUUUUAUUGUUUUAUUGAGGGGAUAAUGCACAUGUACCCCCUCAACCUAUACCCAAAAUCUCAGAGACACACUUAUAUUAUACAAAGAUCCUAUUACCCUCCUGAACUUAUUUUAUUAAUAAUAUUCUACCCCUUUUCGACUUACGUGGCACUAUCUUGUGGACCCAACACUGGUUGACUUUUUCUUUCAAACUAGUGUCACUUAGGCCUAAAAAGGGUAGAAAAUUACUUAUAAAAUAAGUUCAGGGGUAAUAGGACCUUAGUAUAGUAUAAGUGUGUCUCUGAUUUUUCGGGCAUAGGUUGAUGAUGUACUUGUGCAUUUUCCCGUUUAUUGAGUUUUGUUCUUUUAGGAUGGGUUCCUUGAAUUUUGUUUUCGGUUAUUUUCCUAAGGAUAGUUCCUUUGAACAGAGUGUCUUUCAUUUUUUUAGGAAUAUUUUUUUUUUGUUUUUUCUAAGAAAAAAGAAAAGACAUUUUAAGUGUCGUGGUACUAGCCAUUUAGGUCUAACAAAGUGUCUUUUUUUUGUUUGAUGCUUUGGGGACAUAACAUUCUUGUGAAUGCUUGAUUAAAAAAGAAAUUCUUACUCUUCGACACCUAAGCUCAUGGUUAUGUGUUGUGACUUUGUAUAUAGCUUAUUUUAUUAUGUAGUUUAAUAUGAUCCUCUCGCUCUUAGAAGUUGAAUUGAUUCAUCUUGAUUGAUACUUUUGUCAUGUGUAGUGAGUUUGUUUAUUUAAUGAGUUGCAUCUUAAUGUAGAACUUGCCUACAUGUUAUUGAAGCAAAAUAAAAAAAAAAGUGUUGUUUUGUCAAGAAGAUGAUAAUAGGAUAUGUUUGAUUUGUCUGGUAAAUUUUAGCCUUUUCAGAUAUUAUAUCACUGAUUAGCGUUUUCGAGCAUUUAGUGUAACAUUCCGAAAAAUCAUAUAUCUAUUGAAGAGCCAGUAAGUCUGUUAGAAUACGUAUUGGGGGUAAAUAGGCAUUUCAAUGCCCAAUAUUGAGAAAUAUCAGGUAUAUUAUAGAAAAAUGGCUAAAGGGUGUUAGCCAAUUUCUAUAUAUACCCAAAUAAACAAAAUAUAGUCCAAGCUUGUUUAGAAAUGUACCUGCAAAGAAGACCCUAAAAUAAAAUGAAUUGUGAUAAUUAUCUCCAACAUAUAUAUUAGGUACUAGGCAUCAAAGUGUCAAACCUAAUACCAUAAUACAUAACCAUUUAAAAUGAUCAUAUAGAGUAAGCAGUGCCCAAGGACAUAGUGAGGAUCCUUGGAACAAUAAGUAAACGUUCCAAAAAACCAUAAAUAAUAGUUAGUUAGGAAAGUACAACCAAUCCAUGUGCAAGCACAUAUGCAAGACAUGUGAAGAAGCACUAAAGGAGGGGACAAUCAUAACCGAAUUUUGAUAAGGUAGUUAAGGGGGAAAAAGCGUGCAUAAGGGACCACUCCAUGUGGGUCCUAACUUCCUAACAAAUUUUAGACUCUAACAUGCUGCCCCAAAUAGCUAACUAACCUAGGAAUAACCGAAAUGGACCCACUAGUGCACCUGACAACCUAGGACCAAAACGGGUUGACACUAACCUAGUAUUAAUUAAAGAGACAACCUAGUACCUAACCUAGGAUGGUCCAAAAGCUUAGUUAUUGUCCUAUCAACUAAGGGGUACUUUAGUAAUUCCCCUAGGUGACCUAAUUAAUUUAUUUAGCAAAUUAAUUAAUUAAUUUAAAAGGGCUAAAACCAAAACAACAAAGGAAAUUUUCACAUUUUGGCUUAGACGAGAAAGGGACAACCUAGUACCAAACCUAGGAUGGUCCAAAGAGUUAGUUAAGGUCCUAACAACUUAGGGAUAAUUUAGUAUGUACCCUAGGCUAACUGAAAUUCAAGAUUUCGAUUGAGAAGAAAAAGACAACCAAGUAUUUAACCUAGGAUGGUCCAAAGGAUUAGUUAUGGUUAUAACGACUUAAGGGUACUUUUAUAAUUAACCUAGGUUACUUAAUUAAAUUAAAUUAUCCAUUUAAUUAAAUAAAUUAAAGGGGUCAAACCAAAAUUCUUAUACUAACCUAGUAUAAUUCAAAAAACAUCCUAGUACUUAACCUAGGAUGGUCCUAAAGGGUUGAUUAUGGUUCCAAUGACUUAGGAGUACAUUAAUACUUACCCUAGGUCCCUGAAUUAAUUAAAUUAAGGAUUUAAUUAAUUAAUAUAAAGUCAAAAUUUUGACCUAAACCAUAGUCAACACCGAAAUUUCAGAUUUUAGGUUAAGUCAACAUUCUCCUAUGUUUAGUCAACUUAGGAGGGUUUUUUUAGUAAUUAGUUAAUUAAUUUAUUUAAUUAACUUAUUAAACCUCAAGUUAAAUGAUUCAAGAUCAGUUCUUAAACCUAAAAAAGACGUUAAAACUCAUAGAAAAAAAAGACGCAAAAACAGUAAGCAACGAACGCAAGAAAAAGGCAGAAAAAUUAUCAAUUUCUCUAGGGCGAUUACAAGGUCUCUUCAAGGUUUAUUCAAGGUGGUCUUCGUAGAUUAAGUUCUACUUGAGGUAUGGCUUUCUCUCCUGGAAUUCUUUCUGCAAGAGUAUUUUCCUUCGAACGAUUCACAAGAUCUUGAAAACUAGGGUUGUUCCCGUCGAUCUCGUCGAACUUUCCUUCCCUAGGAUCCUUUUCGAUUUCAAUGUUGAAUAGGUUAGAGAUCAUGUUGUUGGUAUGUGUUGUUGGUUGUUCUUAACAGAUAUUGUUCUUGAAUGAUGAGUAUCGAAUGAAUAUAUGAACUUGUAAUUGCUUAAUGUUAAUCUUAUCAUGAUAAUAAGAAUCAAUAAUAUGUUAAGUUAAGUCCGUGAUGUGUUAAGUGAAUAUGUGUCCUUGGCUUAAUGUCGACUUGUGGUAGUUGUGAUGUUAUAAAGAUGUUAAAGCCAUCAAAUUUUAAUAUAAUGCUUUCCAAUAUGUUCUUAAAACGUUACACUAAAAUCCAUAAAGUAAGAAUUGACUCAAAGAUAUCUAUGAAAUCAUAUCUUUAAUGAAUUGGCUAUCUGGCUCCAAUAAAGUUGGCUGACUCUAUUUGGUCAAAAUGAAUAUAUGCUAAUGGCUAGGAACUUAUGUAAAUGAUUGAAAGAUUGACUAAGGAUUCAUACAUAUGGCAAUUUAAAUAAGAACAUACGUAAAAAUUGUCUUAUGCCAAAAAGAAUGAAUUUGCUAGUCUAACAUCUCAAAUCUUGAGCCAAUACUAAUCAUAUGUCAAUUCUUGUGUAGUAAGAGUAUCAAAUAUAUAUUAAGCACUUCUAAAGUAAUAUCAAUGAAUCCAUGACCAAGGGCAUGACAUUCAUUGGGACAACUCCCAACAUGCUCCACAAAAAUGAACUAUGAACUCAUGAAACUCAUUUAAUGAAGUGCUCAUCGUCCAUAAACGAUUAUAUGAAUCUACUACACUAAAGUAAGUAACGUGAGUUGUAACAUAAUUAAAGGGAUCUAAAGUAAGUAAUUGACCAGAAUGGGGUGUUAAAGGAAGUGAGACCACUCUCACUUACACCUAAGCUACUAUGUUAAAAGAAUACUCACGUAUGAAGGUGUUAGAAUGUAUGAGUCAGUCUCAAUAACGCCAAAGGAUGAUAUGUAAGGAAAAUUCACAUUUCAUCAAUGUAAAGUAAGGAUGACCAGUCGUCAAUAGAGGAAGUAAAUCUCAAUCUAGAAGCAAGCCUCCAUAAUGCUUGAGUCAACACUAAAAGAUAAAGAAGAAAUGAACAUUCACGUAAUGAGAUGAGUAAUUAUGUUAAUAUAUUAUGCCAAUGAAAAUGGUGACAACAUGAUAAGAGGCUAAGAUGAAUCGUGAGACAAGUCUCAACAAAGCCUAAGUAAAGGUCACUAAAAGUACACACCUAAGAGAGUGUUGAAUAUCAAGAGCCAAUCCUCAAUAAUACUAUAUAUGUAAGUGUAAGGACAAUUCACACUUAAUACUAAUAAUGAGAUGAGAAAUCAUUUAAUGAGCAAUGAUGUACUUAUACUAGAAGUCAGCUUCCAUGAUGUAUGAGUUGAAUAUAAAUGGGACUUUAUAUGAGCGGUGAUGCCUUCCUUCGGGAAGGGCAGAGGUUCACAUAACUCUCAUAAGAACAUAUUGGACAGCAUUAUAUUAACAUUUGAUGGCUUUAACAUCUUCAUGACAUCAAGUCAACAUUCAGCCAAAAACACAUAUUAAUACAUCAUGGACUUAACUUAACAUAUUAUCGAUCCUUAAUUAUCAUGAUAAGAUAACUUUACGCAAUUACAAGUUCAUAAAUUCAUUUGAUAUUCAUCAUUCAAGAACAAUACAUGUUAAGAACAGUCAACACCACAUACCAACAACAUGAUCUCUCACCUAUUCAACAUUGAAAUCGAAAAGGAUACUAUGGAAGGGAAGUUCAACGGGAACAACCCUAGUUUUUAAAAUCUUAUGAAUCGUUCGAAGGAAAAUACUCUUGGAGAAAGAAUUCCAAGAGAUAAACCCAUAUCUUAAGUAGAACUUAAUCUACGAAGACCAUCUUGAACAAAAACUUGGAGAAACCUUGAAAUCUCCUAGGAGAAUCAAUGGAAUUUUAUGUUUUUCUUUCCAUCGCUUGCUUACUAUUUUGCGUCCUUUUUUUUUCUAUGUGUUUGAACGUGAUUUUAAGGUUAAAGAACAGAUCUUGAAUUAUUCAACUUAGGUUUAAUAAGUUAAUUUAAUAAACAAAUUAACCAAUUACCAAAACGUCCCUCCUAAGUUGACUAAACAUUGGAGAACAUAACACUUAGUCAAAUCUAGAAAUUGGUGUUGACUAUGCGUUUGGUCAACAUUUUGACUUUAUAUUAAUCAAUUAAAUCCUUAAUUUAAUUAAUUUAGGUACCUAGGGUAAGUACUAAAGUACCCUCAAGGCAUUGGAACCAAAAUUAACCCUUUUGGACCAUCCUAGGUUAAGUACUAGGAUGUUUCGUGAGUUGUACUAGGUUAGUGUAAGAAUUUUGUUUUGAUCAUUUAAACUAAUUAAUUAAAUUGUUAAUUUACUUAAUUAGGUGACCUAAGGUAAUUACGAAAGUACCCUUAAGUCAUUAGGACCAUAACCAAUCCUUUGAACCAUCCUAGGAUAAAUACUAGGUUGUCUUUUUCUUGUUUUAACCGAAAUCUGGAAAUUGUUUUGUGAUUUCGGUUUUGCCCCUUUAAAUUAAUUUAUUAAGUUGUUAAAUUAAUCAAUUAAGUAGCCUAAGCAAAUUACUAAAGUAUCACUAAGUUUUUAAGACCUUAACUAACUCUUUGGACAAUCUUAGGUUAGAUAAUAGGUUGUCCCUUUCUUGUCUUAAUCGGAAUCUGAAAUUUUCCUUUUUAGUUUCGAUUUUAGCCCUUUAUAUUAAUUAAUUAAUUUCUAAAUUAAUUAAUUAACCAAUACGAAAUACUAAAGUACCCCUAAAUUUUUAGGACCAUAACUAAUCUUUUGGACCAACCUUAGUUAUGUACUAGGUUGUAUCUUUAACUAGUACUAGGCUAGUGUCAACCCGAUUUUGGUCCAAGGUUGUCGAGUGCACUAAUUAGUUUAUUUCGUUUGGUCCAAGGUUAGUUAGCUAUUUAGGUCAGUAGGUUAGAGUCCAUAAUUAGUUAGGAAGUUAGGCCCCACAUGGAGGGGUCCCUUGUGCACGUUUUCUCCCCUAACAUCCCUAACCGAAUUCGGUUAGGGUGGUCCCCUCAACCACUUCUUCAUAUGUCUUGCACAUGUGUUUGCACAUGGGUUGGUUGUACUUCCCUAACUAACUAUUAUUUAUGGUUCAUUUGGAAAUGUUUACUUAUUGUCCCAAGGACCCUUAGUAUGUCCUUGGGUACUGUUUAAUUUACAUGAUCAUUUUAAAUGAUCAUGUGCUAUGGUACUAGGCUUGACACUUGAAUGCCUACUACUUUGUGUGUAACUAUUCUAAACGGAUUUUUCUUUUAGCUUACAGUCUUCAUUGCAGGCACAUUUAUUGAAAAUCAAUCUUGUAUUGGGGUGUGAUAACCCAAAAAGUAUAUUUCUAAUAUGUAUAAGCAAAAUUGGCUGAUAUCCCUUAGCCAAUUUUUUAUACUAAUGCCCACUAUUCUCAAUAUUGGGCAUUGGUGUGUCUAUGUACCCCUAAUAGGUUAUCCUAAGGGCAUACUGGACUCUUCAUUAGACAUGAUUUUCCGGAAUGUUACAAAACUCCACAUGGCAUAGGGUGAAAUACCAUAAAACAUUAGAGCGAAAAAUGCUUUAAACUAGUAUCUUCGAGUUGUCAUUGGCUACAAAAAAUAAAAUGACCAUCUUAUUAUCCCCUAGUUAUCAAAUGUAGAAUAUUCAAGAAUUAGUGGUGAAAAUGAGCUCACUAAUAAUCCAUGUUUCUCUAUUAAAUGAUAGUAGACUAUUUAGACCAGGAAAAGGAUUGUAUCGCGAAUUAAGAAGAAUCCUCAUCUCAUGUAAUAAGUAGUCAACAAAAAUCUUUUACAAUCUCACCAAAGGGGAUUGGCAAACUAACAAAGGGUCCUUUUAAACUCUCAAAUCUGUCCAGACAUCUGUCAAAGAGAAUGGAUUCUCAAUCUGUACAGGAACAUAUCAAAAGGAAUUGCAUGUUCAUUUGCAAGACAUCUUCAUAGAAAAUAGAGGUGUGGAACAUUAGUAAUGGAAUCAACAUUUGCUACAUCUCUUGAUCGAGAAGACAUCAAGGUUUAGUAGUUAUAAUUGUUAAUUAUUAAUUACAUUUUGGCAGGGUAGCUUUAAUCGUGACAUAUAUCCAACACUUAUAUACAUGAUGACUACUACUGGGAAGGCACAUAGUCAAAUAGCAGCCCUUGGGCUAUACUAAGGACAUUAUACUUAAGUCUAAAAAUUUAUUGGCAUUUCUAAAGAACAUGUUCAGUUUCCCACUCAUUAAUAUGAAGAUAAACUAACAACCUUUUAUCCUAACCAAGAGGAGCUGCAUAAUUCUUACCUUUUUUGGUGAAGUUAAAACUGAUAAAACUACAAAAAGAUUGACCUUUCAACUAAAAGUUAGGACCAAUGUUAAAUCCAUUUCUAAAUACUUUAUGUUAGUUUUGCCAAUGGAGAUCUUGCAGUAGUUAAACCUGGUAAAACAAGAUGUUAUUUGUUAUCUGCUUCGAAUAGAUAAUACCAGAAAGACUUGUGGUGCUUCAAGCACGUUGAUUAGGUUGUUUUCUUAAGAUAGUAAUGAAGUGUGAGUAUUUCAUUAACCACCCUAUAGGCUUAUUAUGAUUGAUAAUAUAAUAACACAUUAGAAGCCUAUGUACUAACUACUAAGGUAGUAAUCAUAGCAGAUGGGAUAAAUAGGAAAAGAAGAGAAACCAGAUUAUAUAAUUACACACCUAGAAGAAAGAUAUAAGGAGGGAUAGAAGAAGAGAACACAUCCAUAUAGAGACACAAUCGACACAAUAGCAAAACACAAGCCCAUUGAUAGAAUUUUAGCUAUUUCCUUAAGCUGUGAUUUGUUUCCUUUGGCACUAUGUUAGUUGUCCUCCUAACUAUGACCAUAUUGAGAAACUUAACAGCAAUAUAAUAAGAACUUCCCACGUAGCUCAUGUGCUUGAAGUCCUUAAGCUCUAUUUUUAUCUUCUAUGGAAAUGGGGCUACAAAUUGUUCUAUGGAGCUAUAGAGAAAAACUUAUAAUCUUUGUUUUCCCUAUUAACUUAUAGAAAGUUACCAAGUAGAACAUGAAAAUGGAGUCACUUUAAGCUUGAUUUCAUAUGUAGUUGGGAGACAAUUAAUUGCUAAAAGUAUAGCUGCUACAAGUAAUUUUCUAACGUUCUUCAACUACAAAUUUCACUUCGGAAUUCUAAGGUAGCAAAUAAUUGUUGAAAGUAGAGGUUCUAAAGCUCGUGCAUUAAACAAUAAAUAAUUUGAAUUCCUCGACUGUAUGUUUCAAAGAAAAUGAAGUAGCAACCCGACUAUCAACCUAUCCAUGGGAAUUGAAAGUUCAAUUUCAAGACAGAUUUGCACAGAACAUAGGCAAUGGAAUAGUAGUGCUCAAACCAGUGUUCGUUACAGCUCUUUCUCAAGCUUUACUCGAUGUAUUAGGGGAAGAACUAAUUGCUCAAGUAUUAGCUGAUCCAUAUAAUUGUUCAGACUUUAAGAUUUAUUGAAUAUCUAUCAGUGUGAACUAUUCUCUCCUAAUAGUUUUUUUUUAUCUUGAAAUUUUGUAGCUCAUCACAAUUCAUUAACACAAAGUAAAAGAAUUCACCAAAUCAAGGAAGUAAGAAGUGCAAAAUAAGAAAUUUGAUUUAUCGACCCACAAAACAUUAUGAAGCAAGAAAAAUCAAAAAGUAGAGUUACAGGAUAAAGAUGAGUAGUACCGUGACUUGAAGUAAUUUCAGCACUAUUAGGUAUUCUUGAUGACUGUGGUACUUGUUCUUGGCCAUUGUUGGUGUUGAGAAGCUGAAAUAUAUAAACAAGUUAGGUAAGAAUUGCUGAAAGUAGAAGAGCUACUGUUCGCGCAUUAAACAGUCAAUAGUAAGAGCUCCUCGACUAUAUGAUUUACAAUUAAAUUAACUAAAUUGUAUUUCAUGUAUAUUCUCCAACAAAAUCAGUAGAUUAUACAACCACACACCUUGUAAAAGCCAAAAUUAAGAAGCACUUGGAAAUUUCUUAAUAUCUUUUAGUAAUGUAAGAAAACGAGUCAUUCUUGUUUCUAAGUUAUGUAGAAUGAAGAAAGAUCCGAAAAUCAUCAAAUGCAAGAAAAAAUAUGUGAUUAAGCACCUGAACGAUGCUCAGAAAUCAUAAACUCAAGUAACAUAAUACUCCUGUUGGCGUUAUAUCUCUGUAUUGUUCUAUCUGAAACAUCGAGACAUGAUGCUUAGGAACUCAGGUUAGCGACUUGAGUAAUACAAUCUUUUUAGUGGCUUAAUAUCAAGCAUUUAAGUCAUGAUAAAGUUAGAAAAAAUUCAACAGAUCUAUGAGGUCUUUGGCUUAUCCAGAUGGAUAGAUUCCUAAUAUGCAGACUAUUAAGUAUGUGCAGGUCCAUAUGAAACUGAUAUGUAGUGAUUUCUAAGUCUAUGUCGAUCCUACUUUAUUGUCGAAAUUCUCAAUAACUCAUGUAGUAUAAAAACAUAUGACCCUUGAUAGUCAAACCAAUGACUAGAGCUCUAAAGUUGUAUGUUUCACAUUGAUAUUAAUAAUCUGAGAAGGUGAGAAGGAAUUGUAGCACGAGAUGAAAAGAAAUUGCAAGAUGAAUAACUUGUCCAAAGAAAUCUUUCCAGUAACCUAUCCAAAGGAAUUGCAAGAUCAAACAAGUUUGGAGAGAACAGAGGCGUGAACCAGUAGCGUUGAAACCACCAAUCAUUACAACUCUAGCUCGAGCUUUAGUAAAUAUAACUAGGCCGCAACUAAUUGCUGAAAAUAGAUUUGCUAUAGGUGACUAUAUAGAUGACUGGACUGUUUUGCUGAGGAAAAAUAUUGGAUAACCAAUAAAUAAGAGUAAGAGUAAAAAGAUUGGAUAACCAUUAAAUAGUCGAUCAAUAAAAAUCUGUUACCAUCUCAAGAAAUAAAAUUACAACUCACUUGGUAUCCGUUUUAAUUAAGAAAUUUGUCCAGCCAUCUGUCAAAGAGAAUGAACUCACAAUCAUUCCAACAAAUGUCAAUAGAAAUUGCAAGUUGAAAAUCCAGACAGAGUUGCAGAGAACAACGACAUCGAACAUCAGUAAUAGAACCAAUCAUCGUUAUAGCUCUUGCUCAAGUUUUAGUCAAUGUAACUGGACAACAACUAAUUGAUCUAGUUUUAGGUGUUGCCCUGUUAUAUAAUAAAAUAAUAAGCUUUAUAAUGGUCAUACUCUUCAGACACAUUUGUUAUUGAAUUUGAGAUUUCAUCUCCUAAAUCUCAUACAUGGAGGGAAAAUAACCAAAUAUGAUCAAAGCAUCUACAAACUCAGUUAUUGUCAUAAAUACAACUGGAAUUGUCAAAUACCAAGGUAAUAAUAAUAUAUCAUUACCUACGGUCAUAACCUGUAGAUCAUUGACGAUUAAGUUAUAUUAGAGGCUGAAAUGAUUCAAAUAAAACAAAGAAAUUGAAUAAUUCACACCCCUCCCUCAAAAAUACGACUCAGAUUGCUGAAUUUUUCAGCAACUUAUAAUCACGAUUUCAGGUAACUAGCAUUAGCGUCGUUAACAGAGAGAGCUCAUUGAGAGGGUUCUUAUUGAUAGAUAGCAGAACAUCGAAGUUACAGAGAGGGCUGCGUUUGAAGAUAGGAGAUUAUAAAUAAUCGCUAAAGUUAAAAUUUAUGAAAAGAUGUAGUCAAAACAAAACAAUAGUUCUCUUGUAGUGAUUCUCAUACUCAAUGGAAUUUCUGAAUCAUCAUGAAUUACAAAUAUAAAACAGCCGCCUUAUACAACAGUAAAAUCAAAGAGCUUCAUAAAAACAAUAAGGAAAACAGAAGAAUAGAUUUAAUAAGUUGCAAUAAAAUUAAUAGAAUCAAGAGAUCACCAUCACAGCUUUGCAAACCGACACUAAUAAACAUGAUAAUACAAAAUAUAGAGUGCUAAAAUCUGAAACGAGAUCAAUCGAGAAACAACAAUACACAGAAAAAGAAUCAGAUACAGACCUAUAGAGACAGAACCAGGAGAGGCAACAUUUAUCGCCCAAAUUUUGGAGAAGAACAUUCUACAUUCCGGAAUACUGUGAAAUGAAGUUAAUUUUUAACCUUCGUUACUAAUUUCACUAAAUUUACUCCCAUUUGACCGAUUGACUCAAAUUGACCCGAAAUUUUUUUAAAAAAAAAAUCUUAUUUUAA